ensembl:lncRNA
CGGCAGUCGAGAGGCUCCAGACCACACCGGGUUCACCAAGCGAGGUGGUAUGACCUCAGGCAAAGUCUGACGUACACCGACCGACCGACCGGCUGGGAGAGGAAUUAGAUGUCUUUUCCAGCCACGACAACGAAGGCAGUGGCAACAACCCGCAACAAGAAGGACUUCCAAACAUUCACAUUAACAUUGACACAUCCCGAAAGAUUCGAUGUACCGAGUUGCACUUCUUCAUUUAAGCUCCCAGCUCCGCGGACAGAUCUGUGCAUUGAGUUCUGUGAAUUUGAGGAGUCAUAGGCCCGAAUCACAAUUAUCUAUUAUCCACGCCGCCGAGCAAACCAAAUUGAACUGAACUUCCUGUGACCGUCACCUCUCAUUCCUUUCGCAGCGGAAAGGGUCUUGAGCUCAGGUGCUUCCUGCCCUGCUGUGUGGAUCAAAUAACACAGAGAAUCCACCGGUGAAAAAAGAAAAAAAGCUAACAUAUCAU